rnacentral:rRNA from 1 species
ACCGAGAUUCCCCCAGUAGCGGCGAGCGAACGGGGAGCAGCCCAGAGCCUGAAUCAGUGUGUGUGUUAGUGGAAGCGUCUGGAAAGGCGCGCGAUACAGGGUGACAGCCCCGUACACAAAAAUGCACAUACUGUGAGCUCGAUGAGUAGGGCGGGACACGUGGUAUCCUGUCUGAAUAUGGGGGGACCAUCCUCCAAGGCUAAAUACUCCUGACUGACCGAUAGUGAACCAGUACCGUGAGGGAAAGGCGAAAAGAACCCCGGCGAGGGGAGUGAAAAAGAACCUGAAACCGUGUACGUACAAGCAGUGGGAGCCUCUUUUAUGGGGUGACUGCGUACCUUUUGUAUAAUGGGUCAGCGACUUAUAUUCUGUAGCAAGGUUAACCGAAUAGGGGAGCCGAAGGGAAACCGAGUCUUAACUGGGCGUUAAGUUGCAGGGUAUAGACCCGAAACCCGGUGAUCUAGCCAUGGGCAGGUUGAAGGUUGGGUAACACUAACUGGAGGACCGAACCGACUAAUGUUGAAAAAUUAGCGGAUGACUUGUGGCUGGGGGUGAAAGGCCAAUCAAACCGGGAGAUAGCUGGUUCUCCCCGAAAGCUAUUUAGGUAGCGCCUCGUGAAUUCAUCUCCGGGGGUAGAGCACUGUUUCGGCAAGGGGGUCAUCCCGACUUACCAACCCGAUGCAAACUGCGAAUACCGGAGAAUGUUAUCACGGGAGACACACGGCGGGUGCUAACGUCCGUCGUGAAGAGGGAAACAACCCAGACCGCCAGCUAAGGUCCCAAAGUCAUGGUUAAGUGGGAAACGAUGUGGGAAGGCCCAGACAGCCAGGAUGUUGGCUUAGAAGCAGCCAUCAUUUAAAGAAAGCGUAAUAGCUCACUGGUCGAGUCGGCCUGCGCGGAAGAUGUAACGGGGCUAAACCAUGCACCGAAGCUGCGGCAGCGACACUAUGUGUUGUUGGGUAGGGGAGCGUUCUGUAAGCCUGUGAAGGUGUACUGUGAGGUAUGCUGGAGGUAUCAGAAGUGCGAAUGCUGACAUAAGUAACGAUAAAGCGGGUGAAAAGCCCGCUCGCCGGAAGACCAAGGGUUCCUGUCCAACGUUAAUCGGGGCAGGGUGAGUCGACCCCUAAGGCGAGGCCGAAAGGCGUAGUCGAUGGGAAACAGGUUAAUAUUCCUGUACUUGGUGUUACUGCGAAGGGGGGACGGAGAAGGCUAUGUUGGCCGGGCGACGGUUGUCCCGGUUUAAGCGUGUAGGCUGGUUUUCCAGGCAAAUCCGGAAAAUCAAGGCUGAGGCGUGAUGACGAGGCACUACGGUGCUGAAGCAACAAAUGCCCUGCUUCCAGGAAAAG